CCUACGGGAGGCAGCAGUGGGGAAUAUUGGACAAUGGGCGAAAGCCUGAUCCAGCAAUGCCGCGUGAGUGAUGAAGGCCUUCGGGUCGUAAAGCUCUUUUACCAGGGAUGAUAAUGACAGUACCUGGAGAAUAAGCUCCGGCUAACUCCGUGCCAGCAGCCGCGGUAAUACGGAGGGAGCUAGCGUUGUUCGGAAUUACUGGGCGUAAAGAGUAUGUAGGCGGUUAUUCAAGUCAGAGGUGAAAGCCCGGGGCUCAGCCCCGGAACUGCCUUUGAAACUAGAUAACUAGAGUCUUGGAGAGGUUAGUGGAAUUCCGAGUGUAGAGGUGAAAUUCGUAGAUAUUCGGAAGAACACCAGUGGCGAAGGCGACUAACUGGACAAGUACUGACGCUGAGGUACGAAAGCGUGGGGAGCAAACAGGAUUAGAUACCCUGGUAGUCCACGCCGUAAGCGAUGAUAACUAGUUGUUCGGUCACUUGGUGACUGAGUGACGCAGCUAACGCAUUAAGUUAUCCGCCUGGGGAGUACGGUCGCAAGAUUAAAACUUAAAUGAAUUGAACGGUNUGAGAGUGCGAGACGACGACGAGGAGGAGG
rnacentral:rRNA from 1 species